ensembl:lncRNA
UUGGGAGUGGGGUCUCCCACACUGUUUAAUUCACAGCCGGCACCUUUCCCCCUGUGUUUUGGGCUUUGGAAAUUCGGAAAAAACAACGUGUCACUCUAAUAUCUCAGGGUACAUUGUGCCAGAUGUAAAAUGUUAUAAGAGAAUUCGGUAUUUAACAGCUAAGUUAUGCUAGCUCUCGUUACAGCAAUUUUUUUAUGUCCCCCCCCAGGAAUAACUCUCUGAAAUGUUACCAUGUAUUGUCCCCCCCUACAAUGAAAUGGGAUCUCCGCCCCUGUUAGUAAGGUGUUGAUUGGUUGGUAUGUGGAGCAGUUAUGGUUAGUAAGGUGUUGAUUGGUUGGUAUGUGGAGCAGUUAUGGUUAGUAAGGUGUUGAUUGGUGCUCUGAUCCCCCAGCCGGGCAAGGGCAGGAAGGCCCGCCCCCACAGC